CGGUUGAUCCUGCCGGACCCCACUGCUAUCGGGAUAGGACUAAGACAUGCUAGUCUUGCGUCUCUAGCCAAUAUGAGAGCGCGGCGUACAGCUCAGUAACACGUGGCUAACCUGCCCUUGGGACGAAAACAAACCCGGGAAACUGGGGCUAAUUUCCGAUAGGUGAAGAAUUCUGGAAUGACUCUUCGCCAAAUGGCGCUUAUGUUAUGCUCAUAUACGUUGCCCAAGGAUGGGGCCGCGACCGAUCAGGUUGUUGGUGAGGUAAUGGCUCACCAAGCCUUUUACCGGUACGGGCCGCGAGAGCGGGAGCCCGGAGAUGGGCACUGAGACAAGGGCCCAGGCCCUACGGGGCGCAGCAGUCGCGAAAACUUUGCAAUACACGAAAGUGUGACAAGGCUAUCCCGAGUGCCAUCCGCUGAGGAAGGCUUUUACCCAGUAUAAAUAGCUGGGAGAAUAAGGAGAGGGCAAGUCUGGUGUCAGCCGCCGCGGUAAUACCAGCUCUCCGAGCAGUGUGGAUGUUUAUUGGGCCUAAAGCAUCCGUAGCUUGCUAAAUAAGUCCCCUGUUAAAUCCACCGAUUCAAUCGUUGGAUUGCGGAGGAUACUGUUUGGCUAGGGGACGGGAGAGGCCGACGGUAUUUCUGGGGUAGGGGUGAAAUCCUAUAAUCCCAGGAAGACCACCAGUGGCGAAGGCUGUCGGCUAGAACGCGCCCGACGGUGAGGGAUGAAAGCUGGGGGAGCGAACCGGAUUAGAUACCCGGGUAGUCCCAGCUGUAAACGAUGCAGGCUAGGUGUUUGGGCGGCUACGAGCCGCUCUAGUGCCGCAGGGAAGCUGUUAAGCCUGCCGCCUGGGGAGUACGGCCGCAAGGCUGAAACUUAAAGGAAUUGGCGGGGGAGCAC
rnacentral:rRNA from 1 species